rnacentral:rRNA from 1 species
GAUGAACGCUAGCUACAGGCUUAACACAUGCAAGUCGAGGGGUAGCAGGGUAGCAAUACCGCUGACGACCGGCGCACGGGUGAGUAACUCGUAUCCAACCUUCCCAUAACUCGGGCAGAGCUAUUCGAAAGAAAGAUGAAUACCGAAUGGUACUUUUUCAAGGCAUCUUGAGAAAGUUAAAGAUUGCUUGGUUAGGGAUGGGGAUGCGUUCCAUUAGAUAGUUGGUGAGGUAAAGGCACACAAAGUCUUCGAUGGAUAGGGGUUCUGAGAGGAAGGUCCCCCACAUUGGUACUGAGACACGGACCAAACUCCUACGGGCGGCAGCAGUGAGGAAUAUUGGUCAAUGGGCGAGAGCCUGAACCAGCCAAGUAGCGUGAAGGAUGAAGGUCCUAUGGAUUGUAAACUUCUUUGAUAGUAGAAUAAAGUGUUCCUCGUGUGGAUUUUUGUAUGUAUACUAUGAAUAAGGAUCGGCUAACUCCGUGCCAGCCGCCGCCGUAA